CUCUGACCCCCCCCCCACCCUCAAAAAAAAAAAAAAGAAUAAAAUCAGUGACUCUGUCUUGGGCCUCAUCUAAGCAGGUUUUAUUUUUAUUAAUUUUUUUCAUGUUUGUUUAUUUAUUUUGAGAGCCCGAGAAAGCGUAUGCACAAGUGGGGGAGGGGCAGAGAGAGAGAGAAUCCCAACGAGGCUCUGCACUGUUAGGGCAGAGCCCAACAGGGGCUGGCUUCCAUGAACUGUGAGAUCAUGACCUGAGCUGAAAUUGAGAGUCGGUUGCUUGACCAACUGAGCCAACCAGGCGCCCGUAAAGCAGGUUUUAUUACGUGAGUCCUGAGUUAGGCUCUGGCCCUGUGUCAAGUGCUGUGAGCUUCUCCCAUCAUCUUUGCAAGGCUUGACGUGUUGCUUGUUUGUAGAAGCUUUUAAUGGCAUUGUAGACACAGGAAAACCAACCCCAGGGUAAUGGCUUUACAAGCUGGCCUCUUAGAAUCAAUGUUGGGGUUGUGGGUGGAGAAGACUUAAUUGCUAAGGUUGGACAGACUGAGUUUGAUCCCAACUCUGCCACUCUUUGACCUCAGAGGCAGGCCGUUCCACCCCUGAGUGAUGGUGUUCCCAUCUGCAAAAUGGGGAUAGAUGGCAUCCGCUAAAAGUGAUGCACUGAUUUGAUGGUGGACUAGUUUUCUGCUGCUACUGUAACAGACUGCCGUAACCUCAGUGGCUCACAACAACCCAGAUUUAUUCUCUUAUGGGUCUGGAAGCCAGAAGUCCAAAAUGUAACCGAUGGGGCUAAAAUCAUGGUGGAGCAGAACCGAUUCCUUCUGGAGGCUCCGGGGGAGCAUCUCUUCCCUUGUCUUUCCCUCUGUGCCUUGGCUCAUGGCCCCUUCGUCCAUCUUCGGAGCCAAUGGUAGCAUCGUUCUUUUCCAGCUCUGUUCCCCACGGCUCCUAUUGUCACAUGGUCUUCUCCGCACUCUGACUCCACUGCCUCCCUCUUACAGGGACUCUUGCAACUACAUCAGACCCACUUCAAGAUAUUUGGAUUUAAUCAUAUCUGCAGAGUCCCUCUUACUCUGUAAAGUAACAUAUGCCUAAGUUCUAGGGAUUAGGAUGAGGACAUCUUUGGGAGACGGGGAUUGUAUGUAUGGUGACCUUCAAGUAACUAACGCACCACAUUGUCCUGUGUUCUCCAACUCUGGAGUAAAACUUCACAUCGGAUACUGUCUUAGUUUGGGCCUCUCCGAGGCAAAUGGAAUCGAGGAUUCAAGAGCAUAUAGUUUAUCUAGGAGGUAAAGGGGGCACCAGGAAGAUGUCAGGAAGGGAAAGCAGCCAGGAAGUCCGAGCAUCCAGACCAGUUACCUCUGUAGCAGACUGGAGCUUAACCGGAGAAACCCAGGGUUAGACUCCCAACCUUAUAGGGGAGGGAGCCGGGGUAUGUAUUCACCAGUUCCCAGCAGUCACUGAUGUGAGAAUUCCCAUAGUUUUGUGGCACCUCUGGCAGCAAAGUGAGCUCUGGUGCUAAGGGAAGGCAAGGAAGUGAAGGCAUCAUUGGCAGUUGGAAGUCAGGCCAAUGUGCACCCAUGUGCUAAGGGCAAGGGUGUACGGGCAGUGUAACCGACGGUGUCCUCCACAGAGGCUCAGGGCCUCUUGGAUGCUCAUGGUCAGCAGUCCAUCUGUCACCAUGCCUGGGCACCUCUGCUCCAAGCAGUCAGGUCAUUUGCUGGCUAAGAGUCCCUUGCAUUUGUGUCCAAACCCGUUUAUGCCAUCUAUCUAGUCAUGUAACGAAGCUCCCUUGAAUGUUAAGCGUGCAGUCGUCUAAUGACACUAAGGUUAAGACUUGAUGGGAGUAAAGCUGAUCGUAAAAAAUGCUGUUCAAUUAGGUAUGUCAUGACAGCUGUGGAAGAUGAUGGCAGGGGAGGACGAACCACAGAAUUCCAGAAGGGGUGGUCAUUUCUCCUUUUAAAGAAACGCAAGCUGGAGGGCACAGAUGAUGAAUUGUGGCUGUGGUGUGUGUGUGUGUGUGUGUGUGUGUGUGUAUUCAGUUUUCACAACACCGUGAGGUUGGCAUUAUUCCCAUUUUGUUGAAUGUAAGUGACGAAACCCAAAACGGCUAGGUUAAUUCCUCAAGGUCCCACAGUCAGUAAGUGGCAGAACUUGAAUGAGGGGAUCUCCCUCUUGGCCCUGCACUGCCUCCCACCGAUCCCAGCCUGGCACAGCUUCCAGGUGUGUCUAAGCACACCUGCUUCGGUCUGACCAAUUUCUUGGGGCCGAGGCCAUCCCACAUUGCCCAGAGAGACUCCAGGCAAGGAUAUGUGGUUCUUCUCCUUCCCAAUCUGGGAGCUUCCUUCAUGGAAAAGGGGAAAUGAUACCUUUAUCCUACCUUUUCUUAACUUCUUUUGACAUUAAUGAGCUUCCACAGCUUAUAGACCAUGGGAACACCUGAAAACUCAUAGCAAAGUCAGCGCCCCCCCUUCACCUUCUAGCAAAGAUGUCCUACUAGGAAUUCUGGGCAGUCUCUCUCUGCUUUGCCCAAUAUCAGGGCAAUAUGUGGAGGCAUGGAGGAAAGGCCCUGAUACUGGCCUUGGCUCUUCAGAGACCUCCAGGUUUGGGAUUUUGACAGCAACAGGAAUCAGACAGUGGAGAAGCUCAGGCUGGGGGGUCACCAAGGCUUCCAUGUUGGUCCCGAGUGCCUGAGACUAGGCUCUAACUAGAAAUCUGUUUGAGGGGAAGAGCAAAAAACUUUCACCCAAGCAGAGCUUAUUAACUAAGCUAUUAACAACCCUUGGACUGGCUGGGUUUCUUCUUCCAUUUUCUAUGGAACUCCCUGCAGAGGUGGCUAGGAAAGAGAGCUCACCCCAAGAGCACUGAUUCAAUGAGAGGUGUCUGGGGACCCAUCAAUAGACAAAUAUGGGAUUGGCUGGCAUGCAGCUCUUAUAAGGCAGUUCAGUUCUUGCUCCCCUUGGAACGGCAGAUUGAUCAACUUACACUGUGGUUCCCAGCAUGCAAAAUAGCCUUCCUGAUUUUUACCGGGGUUUUGUGUGCUUGUUCUUAAAGGAAAUAUCAGUUGGCAAGUUGGCUGGUAUGGUAAUUCCUUCGGUAUCAAAAUGGCAGCUUUCUGUGACGCUGGAUUGAAGGCGCAUUCAUUUAACAUACGCAUUGCAUGCCUGCUGUGGUCGAGCGCUGGGCUAUCACGGUUAUAGGACUCAGGCAUAACCCCUUUAUCGGACGAGAGAGGUGAGUCGGCAGGCACAUGGCGUGUGCCACAAGGGAAGUAAAUAAAGGGCCUUACAGGAGCCCAGAGGGUGGACAGCUUCUCCACCUUUGUGUGCAGGGUUUGAGCCUGUUAACAAACACCCAGAGGAGGCGAUGCCUGAGCUGAGUUGAGAAGGAUGACUGUGGAUUAGCCAAGGAGAGAAGGCGGAACUGUGGUGCCGUAGGUGGCCUGAGCCAAAGCCAAAGGCGAAACACAAGUGGUGGAUGAGAAGAGCUUCAGGGAGUCAGCUGAGGCCAGGAUGUAGGACAGAAGCCGGCGACGAGCAGCCUGGAGAUGGAGAAAGAUUUCCACCCAGCGGGGCCUCUGGGUCUUGCCAAGGGGCUGGGACUUGACCCCGGGACGCUGGCCUUACCUGCGUUGUACGUCGGGGACUCAGCGGCAAGCUGGAGGCAGGAGCCCUGCGUGAUUUAUCUGUGUAAUAAUGAGUCAUGUUUUAAGGGUGUUCUGUGCAUUUUCAUGGGGCUUAACUUGAUAGACAAAUUCAGCUCUUCGCUUUUAAUUAUGCAAACCCAAGAGGCAAGAAUUAUUCUCUUCAGCUCCAGCAUGAAGACCGAAGUCGGCACGCUGGCCCAGUGCCAAGGACCUGUGCUGGAGUUCUUCAGCGCCCCGCUGCGGGGAGGUGGCCAGAGACCUGAUGUCCUGCCGCCGAUGUCGGAAUAGGCCGGCCCCGGUCUGCCUCUUACCCACAACCUGGACAUGUCUCUUCUCCUGGGAUCCUUUGCUGCUACUGUGUGCCCCUGCUUUUACCCGUCUUCAUUCCCAGCCUCUGCCACCAAAGAGACAGUCUCACCGAGGGGCUCUCCACAUGCCAAGUGGUGUUCUAGCCAGUUGGGCUUGGGAAGAAAAGCACCGGGCUGGGUCUCAUUCCAGCUGCAUGGCCCUGGGCACUUUCCUUCCCCAGCCUGUCUCCUCAUUUAUUGAAAGCAAGUGCAGACGCAGUAGCUGUCCUGCUCAUCGCCGUAUCCCUCAGUGGCUGGCACGGAACCGGAGCUCGGUAUAUUGCUAUCGAACGAGUACGGAAACACCCAUCACGGGCCAGGCAGCGUGUGCCCCCCGGGCAGACACCAGGGAGACUAGAACGAGACCCCUGCCCUCCAGCGUCUAGUGGUUAAAAUCAGUGUGGGAGCAAAUAAGUCGAAUAUGGCACAAGCGAGUAGAAAACACACGUAAGGAGAAAAUACUGUGGCAGCCGGAGUGGCUGCUCAGUGCGAUUCUUUGAUUCCAUUUCAUCUCAGUGGAGGAAUCUUAGCACAAAAAGGAAACCCGACAAGACUGCCCGCAGCUGGAGGCACGCACGGGUGCGGCCCUCACCAAGGGUUCUGACCAUUCGGGAGUUCGUCACGUCCCAGGUUCGUGGAUGCUGUUAUUUGUUAUUCUCUGUGCAGGAUAGCACAGAUGAUGCACAGUCUGUGAAACUUAACAAAUGGAGAUCUGCUCAGGACCUGGUCUGGCGGGCGACUCACAUGCAAGUGACGGCCACCAGAAGGAGUGACAUCCCCUCUCCCCACCCACUUCUGAUUGUAGGACAGGCCUCUUGCAGGAGCUCACCUCUGGGGUGAGGUCUGGGCAAAGCUGCUGGAGGACGUUGAUGGCGUGGAAGCACUUUGUCGCCCAACAACACGUUUGCCAUUGGAGUGUCUGCUUAUGAGGCGGCCGGGGGUUUUAGACAGUUGAUAAUAAGUGAAACGCCAAGAGGGCACUUCAGCCUGCUUUGCUCCUCGGCAGGACCCAGCUGACCUUGCCUGGAAGAACCGGGAGUUGUUUUCCCGGUGAAAACCUACAGUGGCCGCGAAGAGAAAGGAACAGGUGCAGGGCCCUCCCAGCAGCCCAGAGCCUGGAACGUCAUCUCAGCCCGCCUCAGCAGGUGGCAAGGAGCUGCACAAGAGCCCAGUCCUUCGGGACUGAUUAGACCCCGGCGGGGAUGUGCAGACGCUUCGGUUCACGGGGUUCAGCCCGUUCCGGGGGGCAGAGGGCAUGGUGAGACCCUCCGAUGGCAGGGAACCCGUCGAGACCAGCUAGUGCCAAACAGUCACUACACGCAAAGCCAGGCAGGUGGGUCACUGAGCAAGAGAACGGGAUGUCGCGGGGUUGUUCUCCUUAGACUGAGUGAAACGGGCAGCAGAGUGCCUGCAGGGUUUCCAGCUUCUCUCUGGGACACCAGCUCUCUGGAUGGUGGAGGCUUCCCCUUCAAAGCUGACUGCGUGUUGACAAAGUAGGUUUUCAACGUCGGAUGGGAUUCCGGAGACCCCGCUCUCUGGCGGCAGAAACGUCCCUUUCUGGCCCAAGCUACCCGCCUGCCGCGUUGACACCAUCACUUUCUACAGUAGGAUGAACGGGUGCCCUCUAUGAACAAACGAAGGCUGGCUACACGUUUCAUCCAGGAGGCUUGUCACGCGGGACAGCUGCAGCCCUUGACGUGAAUUAUGCAUCCGCGGGUCUGCUGAGGUUCCUUCCUGUCUUCUCUUCCUCAAGUGCUCGUAAUAUACAAGGCCCUGGAAACGUACACUCCUCACGGUCCCAUGUGACGAGGAACCUGAGACGGUCAUCCCAUGUUUUUAUCUGGAAGCCCAGGACUUCCGGGGGCCACAAAACUGUAGUAGACAUCGGGAGAGAGAGAACACAGCACAGGUAGGUAUUCGUGCUGCAGACCUAGCCGGGAAUCCUCCAAGGCCGAUCUGAAAUGGAAGGAACAUCGGACGGGCUCCCUCCUUGUCACCAAAGUCAUUCAUGGCCUGCCUGACUGACUCGGGGUGACAGCAGCCCCUGCAGGUGUAAAAGGGUUUCCUUCACGCUCUUUCUCCUUUUCCUGUUCUUUUAGAUCAAAGAGAGGAAGAUCACCUUCUGGCUUUGGCCAGAGCCGUUCACCAGGAAGGAAUACUGCUUCUAAAACACACCCAAAGCCCUUUCUUAGCAGGACAGGAUUCUUUUCUGCAGACUCCCAUUGUAUACCAGCCAUAAAACUCCUUAAUAACUUUGCCUUAGAUAGGCCUCUAAUAUCCAUAAUUCAUUCAAGGAGGCAGACUCCAGAGGCUGCACUGUGGUUUAUCUUAUUUUUGUAUAAUUACACUCCCCCCCACCCCCCCGCGCGCGCGCACACACACACACACACACACACACACACACACAGGGGUGUACGUGGUGAUUUACAGCGAUGUUGGGAUACCUGGUUAUUAUUCUUCACUCCUGAUCCAUUAUUAUUCUUCCUAAUUUUGCAGAGUCAUUUGCUGGAUAAGGCCAUUUAGGAAACAAAUGCAUAUUUUAAUAGCUAAUAUUGAAUUUACAUUUAUAUCUCAGGUGUAUAGGGAUAAUGAUGUGGCAAUUAAAGGCAAAUAUAUAAUUUUUAGUCAUGACUAGGGAUUACUCUGCUGACAGAGCAAGAGCUGACUUAGAUAUUUAACUGAAUGUUAAAUUUUUUAGAGCUUUGGGAAUUGUGGACUCUUGAUGGAUAGCUCAGUACUUUCAAAUUUUAGGCGGGGGCAGGGGAGAAAAUCCUGAUUUUGCACUUUACGUCUAGGUGUCUCAGAAACAUGUGGCCACUUCAUUACAUAUGCUCACAAUGUAUUGAUGAGCAAAGGAAGCAGGUAUGGGUACUGUGAUCCCAUCUGUGUGUGUGUGUGCACAGACACACGAACUGUGUGAGUAUACAUGCACAACAUGUAUAUAUAUAUAAUGUACAUGUAUGUUAUUUGUAUAGUUUUUUGCAUAUAUAUUAUAGUAUGUAUUUAUAAUACACACACACACACACACACACACACACACACACACAUUCAUGUUUCCAGAUGUCUUUCAAUGCAUGUGUGGAAGUACAGAUAAAAUUUUAACAGACAUUAACUCUGGGUUUAUGGGGUUCUGCUGUCUUCAUCUUUAAGCAUAACCGCUGUUGAUUCUCUUUAUGGAGAGCCCGCCAUGAGAUGAGCCAGGUGCAGAGCACGUGUUAGAUCCGGACUACCUGAGUUCAUGUACCUCUGUCAGUUCCUUAUGCCGGUGUUGGCAUCAGGUUGAUCUUACCAAGGGUCAUUUUUAAAGGGAAUGGGGAUGUGUCUCUGCUUGGGUCACUAAAUAACUACCCUUGACUUUGACUUUGGUGUCUGAAAGCUCCAGGCUGGUUUGCGAGGUUAGGUGGGAAUGGUGAUGUCUCCCUUCCCCCAAAGAGCAACGGUCCUCAAACUGGUUUGGUCCUUACCGCUUGGAUACAACAGAACUGUCUGCCUCGCAAUCACCUCCUUACUAUUUGCCUCUCUUAACAAAACAGCCUGGGGGCGCCUGGGUGGCUCAGUCGUUAAGCGCUGACUUCUGCUCAGGUCAUGAUCUCGUGGUUCGUGGGUUUGAGCCCCACGUCGGGCUCUGUGCUGACAGCUCAGAGCCUGGAGCCUGCUUCGGAUUCUGUGUCUCCCUCCCUCUCUGCUCCUUCCCCACUUGUGCUCUGUCUCUCUCUGUCUCUCAAAAAUAAAUAAACAUUAAAAAAAAACCAGCCUGUAGAAGAAAACAUUAGGGGGAAAGCUCUUUGACAUUGGUCUUGGCGAUGACUUUUUGGAUUUGACAGCUGGAACACAGGGAACAAAAGCAAAAGUUAACAAGUGGGACCACGUCCAACGAAAAAGUUUCUGCGGAGCAGAAGAAACCAUCAACAAAAUGAAAAGGGAGCCUGCGGAAUCGGAGAAGCCAUUUGCAAAUCAUAUAUCUGAUAAGGGGUUAAUAUCCAAAAUAUAACUCCCAUGAGUCAUUAGCAAAAAAUCAAAAACGUGCUUAAAAAAUGGGCAAAGGACUUGAAUAGACGUUUUUCCGAAGAAGACACACAAAUGGGCAAAAGGGACAUGAGAAGAUGCUCGGCCUAACUCAUCAUCAGGGAAAUGUGAAUCAGAACCCAGUGAAACACCACCACACACCUGUCGGGACGGCUAAAAUCAAAAAGACAAGAAAUUAUAGUGUUGGCGAGGAUGUGGAGAAAGGGGAACCCUCUCGCACUGUUGGUGAGAAUGCAAACUGGUGCAGCCACUGUGGAAAAUAGUUUGGAGGUUCCUCAAAAAAUUAAAUAUAGAACCAUGUGUUCCACAAUCCCACUUCUGGGUAUUUAUCCAAAGGAAAUAAAGUCACUGUCUCAGGAAGAUGGUUGCACUCUCAUGUCCAUUGAAACUUUGUAGCCAUAAUAAGGGAGCAACCUAAGGGACUGUGGACAGAUGAAUAGAUAAAGAAAAUAACAUAGUCACGUAUAUUUAUACAUACAUGUGUUUAUACAUAGAUACAUAUACACGCAUAUAUAUACAUAUAUAUACAUAAACAUAUAUAUACACGUGUACAUAUAUAUAAACACGUUUAUAAUUCAGCCUUAAAAAAGGAAAUCCUGCCAUGAGUAACCACAUGGAUGAACCUGGAGGAUGUUAUGCUAAGUGAAAUAAGCCAGAGAAAGACAAAUGGUAUCAUUUAUAUAUGGAAUCUGAAAAAGAAAGGUGGGGGUGCCUCAUUGGCUCAGUUGUUAAGUAUCUGACUUCUGCUCAGGUCAUGAUCUCAUGGUUCUUGAGUUCGAGCCCCACAUCAGGUGAGCCCUGCUUCUCUCUCUGUCUCUCUCUCUCCCUCUCCCUCUCUCUUUCUCUCUCUGUCCCUCAUAGGAUUCUCUUUCUCUGCCCCUUGCUCGCUUGUGCCUUCUCUCUUCCUCUCUCUCUCUCAAAAAAAAAAAAAAAGGAACUCCCAGUAACAGAGAGUAGGGUGGUGGUUGCCAGGGGCUAGAGGUGCAGGAAAAGGGGAGAUGUUGGUCAAACAGUACAAACUUUCAGUUAUAAGAUGACAAGUUUCUGGAGACAUCAUGUAUAGCAUCGUGACUGUAGUUAAAAAUAAUGUGUACUUGAAAUUUUGCUUAGAGAGUAGAUCUCAGGUGUUCUCACCACACACAAAAAGGACACUAUACCAGGUGAAGGGUAUGUUGAGUAGCUCAAUGGUGGUCAUUAUUUCACAAUGCGUAUGUCUAUCAAAACAUCGUUUUGUACGCUGUAUAUCUAUAAUUCUUUUAAAAACAUCUAUCUGUAUCUAUAUCUGUGUCUGUAUCUGUCUCUAUUUUGAUCAGUCAUACCUCAGUAAAGCUCAGGGGAAAAAUAAAACCCCUGAGCAAGAGAGGUAGUUGUUUGUCCGUGGAUGAUAAGGGAAGGAUAGCUGAAUUCAUCAUUUCUUCCCACCAAGAAGCGAGGAAGCCUCGUGGCUCUCAUUCCAAACGUCAGGACUGCACACUGUUAUGCAGCAGGCCCCCUGGAGAAAUGUCAUCUCUGGGUCCCAUCUGCAUUUGAGGACUCCCACUCCGAAAGGAAUAUCCUCAUGUUGGAGAGUGAAACUCUUGAACCUACGGGUGCUGGACUUCUCCUGUAUUAUUUACCCUGCCCUUGGAUGGCGAAGCAGAUGCACUUCUGGCAUAGAAGCUUAGAUUUUCUGUCUUUUCUUUUCUUUUUUUUAAGUGUUUAUUUAUUUAUUUUGAGGGGGGAGGGGCAGAGAGAAAGAGAGAGAGGGAGAGAGAGAGACUCCCAAGCAGGCUGUCCACUGUCAGCAUGGAGUCCAACACAGGACUCGACCUCACAAACCUCGAGAUCAUGACCUGAGCCAAAAUCAAGAGUCGGACGCUUAACCGACUGAGCCACCCAAGCGCCCCUUACAUUCUCUUUAUUUCACUCUCCUGUUCCACCCCCCUUACCCUGACUCUCCCUCUCCCCCCGCCCCCACACACCACCACCUACAAAUCUGUGUGUGGGGGGGGGGGGUGGCAGGGUUCAGUUCUGUCAUGCGCAUCACUUCGUGUUCAAGAGUCUACAAUUGUCACCGUAUUUUCGGAGACACCCUGUUUUUCUUGAGUGUUUGGGGAUCGGUCCAGAAGUGCGUUCCAGGAUAGGGACCAGAUAUUCAUUUCUGGGUUCAGCAUGUUGAGUUGUGCCUGCCAUCCAGGAGCUCGACUGGGUCUCCAUUAAAAAGACCCCACUGAAGAAUGGUACUAAUGCACAGAGGGGCCCGAGAGCCUGCCCCAAGCUGUGGUGGUGAUGGCCUGCACUUAAUGGAGAAGGUUUAAAAUGUGGCAUGCAGGCUAAGUGUGAUUUUAACUUGAGGCGGUAGCACAGGCUUUAGCACCAGGCUAGGAGGAGAUGGGCUAUUAAUCCUUUUGACAUUCCCUUUGAAUAGCAUCGUAUUUCAAUCCCGUUAAGCUGUGGGGCCGUUGUGUAUCAGUCUCCCUCCAAAAGCAGGGCCUCUGUUGUGCUGAGCUGCAAAACUCUGCCCAGCUCUGUGCCUUUAAGACGACAGUUGGCUUCAGCCUGCUAGGUGACCCCCUCCACCUCUCCGGCUCUGAGAGAAACUCAGGCAGCUCCCAGCUGCCUCUGCUCGCCCAUCUGUCACUGACCAAGCAAGGGGUCAGUGGACCUGGUGCCCUUUAUUGGAAUGUCGAGAGAAGGAAAAAGAAGCAGCACAUCUGGAAAACGGGGAAAAAGGAAGGGGAGGUGGUCAGGCAUGCUGAAGAAUCCCAAAUUCCAAAUUGUGACUGUCUCCAUGACCUCGCUCUUCCUGUUCUGAUCCCCCCAGCUUCAAUGUCCAUUCAUUUGCACAUUCAUUCAUCAGACCUCUAUUGAGCAUCUCUCAAGUGCACUGUGCUCAGUGCCACAGGUAGAGGAUGAACACAGCAGGUGAGGUCCGUGCCCUUAUCAACCCACCAUCUAGCAGCGGGAUGGACAUUGGCCACAGGAAGUUGGGAAUAUGGAGAGGGAGGGAUUUGGAGACCAGUUGUCUGGGCUCUGGAGCCUGACUUGGCUGCUUGUAGGCUGUACAGCUUGGAGGAAGUCACUUGACCUCCUUGAGCCUCGGUUUUCUCAUCUGUAGAAUGGGGUUAAUAACAGUACCUCUUCCAGGAUUGUCGAAAGGUCUAAGUAAAUCAUUGCAAGUAACACACUUAGGAAGCAGUCAAUAACUGUUGGGUUUUGCUAUUAAAUUCUAUGGUAAAUUGUAUUAUAAAGGGCAAGCACGAGGCGCAAGGGGAAUAUAUUACAGCAAAAUUUGCCUCAUCUAGGAAGUCAGGAAGGCAUCCUUGACAAUGGGAUGUUCAGGCAGUGAACUGGGAAUAACCCCCAGCCUAUUCUCUCUCUCUCCCUCUCUCUCUCUCUCCCCUCCCUCUCUCUCUGAGGGUUUACCACUUAUACAUUCAGUCUUCCAGGUUUGGGCUUAAUUGGAUCCCUGUCUUCUCUCUGCUUAGAGGAGAGGGUCCUGGUGGACAAGGAGUGUACCUUGUGCAUAAUUCUAGCACUUUCUGCCACACUUAUUGUAUUGCUUGGCCCAUCACUGGACAACCAGAUAAGUGAGUGGCCAAUCUGUGUCCACACACAGAGGCUGAAAGAUCUGAAGUUUAGAGUCUCUUAUGACACGGUCCCAGGAGCAGCUCCAGCUGGCCUCACAGAUGUACAAGGUUUACCUCAUUCAUAUGCUGCUUUAUAAUUGUCCAGUGAGUUACGAAGGAGUCCGUACUCUUGGACUGUCAGCGGGAAGCACACUCCCCCAGAGGCUGCCCUCUGCCCAGGAGGUUAAAGGGAGUACGGGAAGGGGACGCAGGCAACAGGGGGCCCGGGUGGCUGUGGAAUUCCUUCCCUGGCCUCUGCCCACUUCUUAUGCACCACUCACUCCCAAAGGCCACAGCUUUUAGGGGUGCUGUAACUCCCCUUCCGCAGCGAGCAUGCAUGUAUUUUUAACUUAUACAAGAACUGAAAAUCUGUUCAUCAAUCUUUCCUGUUUGGGUGAAUACAGUAAGAAACCUUCUAAGAGACGUGUGAAUGUGCCACAUGUUAUACAUAAUUCAGUUUUCCUUUAGCUAUUAAGUUGGCCUUGCGUGCCUAGUAUUUUUAAAUUGCUGCUCCUACUGAGCUCGCUCCUGUCCUGUGAGCCUGAGACCUCACAAGGGUCUGAGGGCCAUUCUCUCCAUCUCCUCCUAGGACCCGUGUCGAAGCACUUUGUUCAUUGGCGAGCCCUUCCGUGUGUGCGCGUGAAAGUUGGGAGAAUGGGAAUAAAGCCACAUUUAUCUCCCGGGAGCCCACAGUGCUCAGCAGGGAAUGAGUAUACAGCAGGCUGAAAGGUUUGCAGAGGGUUUGCCUGGGGAGCAUCAGGGGCAGGGUACAGGCAUUCUAGACAGAGGACAGCCUGAGCCUGGCGAGAAGGUGGGAUACCGCAGUGUGAGUGGGUUACUGCUGCCGAGCGUGGAGAGGUACGCAGGGAGGGGCGUGGCCAAGCCAGGUGGUGGAGGGUCUCACGCGCCACAAGAAGGAGACGGGCAGGAAGGUGGCUUGCACAGAAUGGACAGAGGAGGAGUUUGGGCAACACGGCAGUGCCUCCUACCCCCUGUAUUUUUUUCUCGAGGAUGGUUUUGCAGGAGCCUCUAUGCCACAGAGCGGUGCUUCUCAAAACUUGAGCGUGUGUCACAAUCAUCUGGAGGGUUUGCAAAAACCCAGGCGGUUGGACCCCACGCCCAGAGGUCGGGGUUCAGCGGGUCUGGGGUGGGACUGAGAAUCUGCGUCUCUGACAAGCAAGCUCCUGGUGAGACUGAUCUCGCUGGCCCAGGGGCCACGCUUAGAACCACUGCUUAGGCAUCCAGGAGGUCGACCAGGAGGAGCAGUGUCCCCUGAAACCAUCAGGAGAGAAAGAAGCAGGUUAGGAAAUGGGGGGAAGGAGCCACUGAAGCAGCUGCCCACGGACAGGCUGUCCUUGAACUCACGCUCUGGGUCCCAGCUGAUAAUCCCAGAUGCAGCCAACUCAUGUGGGCUGCGGUUACAUUAAGGAAAUAAUCACCUCCCUUUCAUAACUGUAUACAAUUUGGCCGCAUCCGGAAACGUAACCCGUUUUCCCUUUUUACUUUUAAUCUUGUCUGCUCUCUCGGAGACCGAACACGGCGUGUCGAAGGCUUUAUUUCGGAAGCCUAUCUUCUCACUGGUUUCCAGUCUCCUCUCUCACGGCUUUCUGGUCACUUUAGGGCACAUCACCAGUGGCCAGCAACACCUAACACUGCAAAUCCCCUCCCCGCGCCUUCCUCUCACCCCAGAUUUCACGGGUUCCCAUCAAACGCUUCGGCCCAAAGGGUCCAGAGACAAAGCUCGUUUUCUGAUAAAGAGAAGCACCACACUAAACUCUGAAAUGUCACGUUUUCUUGUGUUAAGACCAUGGUCUUGGAGGCCCAGAGGGUGCCCUCCGGCCUGGGGCCACUGGCUGCCGCCUGCCUUCCCUGCUAUCUCCGUUUCCUCUCCCCCCCUCCCCCAUUCUGCUGUGGUUCCUGCCCACAGAGAGGUCCCACAGGACCCAGCAGGGAGGAUGCUUCUCUGGGUAUGGAGCCAUCAGUUAAAGGAGAAACGGGGGUCACUGAGGUAGAGUAGCCAGAAAAUCCUGGUCCCCUUCUCCGGAGUGUGAGGCAAGACUGGCCAAACCUUGGCUGGGUUCCUGCGGUUUGCCUGUGUCUUUGCUCCUCCCGCAUCCUCCCCAAAGGCUGUUGAGAGUCUCCAUGCUGUGGCUCUUGAUAACCUGUCGACCCGUGUGAGUCUCGGUCGGCAAAAUCAGUUACAUGCAUCUCCUGGGCGGAUUUUAAAGAUUUUCCGAUAGCACAUUCAGCUUCAAUUUCAGCUCGGGGCUCCAUUUAGCCAGAGUGGUGGAAAUGUGCCAUCAGGUCAGCUGGGGUGGGGGUGGGGCGGUGUCUAAAGUGCCCAGGGCUUGGGGCCGGCGUGGGGAGGGUGGCAGGGUAUCUGCCCCCGGUGUCAUCUGUGCGCCCAGACAUCUGCCGAGGCCCUCGCCGUGCCAUCUGGCCCUUGUCAGGAGUUACACAGCUGCUGCGGUUACCCUUCGGGGCGGGCAGCGGGCAGCGUGCAGAAACGAUCCCGCUGCUCCACUAACGGGGGGCGUCUGCAAGCCCGGCUCCCGGGGCCAGGCUCAAGUGCCGUCUUCUCACCAAGCCAGCCCGUGCUGCCCCUUCGGAAUUGUUCUCGAAUACUUGGGAGAACCUCUGUUGACCGUAUCACCUGCAUGGGCCGUCCCGCGUCAGAAUCCUUUACCUGUCCACCGCUGGCCGCUAGACUGUCGCCUCCCGGGGCCACAGCACCAGCUCCUUCCAGGACGCGGCAUGGCGCCUGGCCAAAAAGCGUGGGCAAAGCGUGCUGACCUGACACGCGUGGAGACCCGGAGCUGGCAAAGCCCCGUCCUGCCAGCAAAGAGGAAACCAGCCUGUUUGUCUCCCCGAGUCCUCCGUGAGAAAAGGAAAACGGGCAGGAGCACCUGAAUCGACAAGGACACAGGGGCUUGACGGGUGAGGGGCCAGAAAGCUGCAGAACGUAAGCCCCAUUUGUCUCUGCUCUUCUGUCAUCCAGCCUGGGAGCGUCCCUGCAAAGAAAGCCCCAGCAGAUGGCUUCUGGACAUCCCUCACUGGGACGGAGGUGAAACCCCAGCCCCCGGGGAAUUCCGAGGCCCGGGCUCAUGGCAUCCUUGAAGGAUGGCAGGAGAUGACACUUUGGCUGACCCCUGGGAGAACUAUCCUCGCUGGUGAACUCCAAAGGCAAGGGUGGUGUUGCAUCCCAGUCGGGGCCAGGGAGGAUCUGGAAUGCUCUGGGCCCCAGGCCUUGAAGGUUCACUCUUCCCAGGGAGGAGCAUUUGCCGCACCCCCCCAAGCCCUUCCCAGUCAACUGGAGGCUUGAAAGGGCUUAUUGUCAUGCCCAAGCAUUUCAAAGAAUAUGCAUUGAGCAGGGUGCCUGGCCCUAUACUAGGCUGGGGGUGGGGGUGUGUGUGUGUGCAAUGGGCUGGUGGCUGCUCUCAAGAGCCUACAGUGGGAAAGGGGAAACCAUCCAAAAACUUAGCAGCAAAUAAAUAACCUGCUUGUGGGUUUGAAAAACAGGCAGUAUGAAGGGAAGGGAUGACAGGCAGGAGGACUUGUUGACACGGCAAAGGCUUCUCAAAGUACCACUGGAAAUGAACACUGAAUGACAAGAAGGAGCCAG